rnacentral:rRNA from 1 species
GACGAACGCUGGCGGCGUGCUUAACACAUGCAAGUCGAACGGAAAGGCCCUGCUUUUGUUGUGUGUUCGAGUGGCGAAAGGGUGAGUAACACGUGAGUAACCUGCCCUUUAUUUUGGGAUAACUUCAGGAAACUGGGGCUAAUACCGGAUAGGAGCUCCUGCUGCAUGGUGGGGGUUGGAAAGUUUCGGCGGUUGGGGAAGGACUCGCGGCUUAUCAGCUUGUUGGUGGGGUAGUGGCUUACCAAGGCUUUGACGGGUAGCCGGCCUGAGAGGGUGACCGGCCACAUUGGGCCUGAGAUACGGCCCAGACUCCUACGGGAGGCAGCAGUGGGGAAUAUUGCACAAUGGGCGGAAGGCUGAUGCAGCAACGCCGCGUGCGGGAUGACGGCCUUCGGGUUGUAAACCGCUUUCGCCUGUGACGAAGCGUGAGUGACGGUAAUGGGUAAAGAAGCACCGGCUAACUACGUG